rnacentral:rRNA from 1 species
UACGUAGGGGGCAAGCGUUGUCCGGAUUUAUUGGGCGUAAAGAGCUCGUAGGUGGUUCGGUAAGUCGGAUGUGAAAUCUCCAGGCUCAACCUGGAGGGGUCAUUCGAUACUGCCGUGACUAGAGGUCGGUAGGGGAGUGUGGAAUUCCUGGUGGAGCGGUGAAAUGCGCAGAAUAUCAGGAGGAACACCCGUAGCGAAGGCGGCACUCUGGGCCGAUACUGACACUGAGGAGCGAAAGCGUGGGGAGCGAACAGG